rnacentral:tRNA from 1 species
GGGUGCGUAGCUCAGUGGUAGAGCGCGGUCCUGAUAAGACCGAGGUCGGAGGUUCAAUCCCUCCCGCACCCACAA